rfam:Ricinus communis cultivar Hale ctg_1100012356881, whole genome shotgun sequence.
AAACCAUAAUGUGGGCACCUUCUCUACAGCUCCUUGAAUCACCCCAAGCUUCAUAAAGAGAUUCAUAUUCCUUUUAGUAAAAACUAGCUAUUUGUUGAUGAACCU